rnacentral:tRNA from 1 species
GACUGGUAGCUCAUUUGGCUAGAGCGCUUGAGGAUACGUCAAUGGCGACGUUGGCCGAUAAAAGGCUUGCUGGUUCGAAUCCAGCACCAAGUUC